AUUUUGAUCUGAGGACACCGUCCACUGAGAGCUAUGAAUUGCAUGAAAAGAGAAGAGGGACUUAGCUUGAAAGUGCAGCACUUGGGAAGCUGAGGCCGGAAGAUGCAAGUUGAGGCCAUUCUUGGCUGCUGUGUGAGAUCCUCCCUCAGAAGAGGGAAGAAGAAACCAUGGUCAAAUAUUCUGGCUCUGCUAUUUUCUGGUGUUUCGCAGCCUCGGUUUCUCUGCCUGUGAAAUGAGGAGCCAGACUUUCAGAGCAGGUAGCUGCUUUCCCUGAAAACUCGACUCCUUCAUAAAAUCAAAAUUUAUGAUUAUUCAAAUGUUGAGGACUGUGAAAAGAGAGGAAGAAAGAGAGAAAAUUAAUAUUGCAGCUGUUCUUCUGAUUAAUGAGAGAUAAUUGCUCAUGAAAAGUCACCCCUGUGGCAUUUUGUUGUCUCCUGGAUCUUUGUUCUUU
rnacentral:lncRNA from 1 species